GGUUGCUACGGGGUCAGACUCCUCUCUCCUCCCAGAGUGCGGAGAGCCUGGGGCGGCCCCAGGGAAGGGUCCAGAGCCUCUGCAGGCGGUGGGCCGUGUGACCGCUGAAAGAACAGAUGAGCAGAAGAGAGAUGGGGAGAGGGACAGAAGGAGAGGGACAAAAAAUCUCCAGCAGAUUUCCCUGGGGGCAUGGAGCCCUGUGUGGGGCCCAGUCCCACAACGCUGAGAGCACACCCAAGCUGAAACCAAGAGUCCGGCGCUUCACCCGCUGAGCCAUGCCGGUGCCCCCAAAGAAGCUCUUUUGCAGUUACUGGACCUCACUGUGGGCCCAGCUUUGCCUCUGAUUGACUAUGGGCUCUGCAUAGGUGAUUUCAUCCUGCUGUCUACGCUCACUCAUCUGUCUUUUAAAAAGUGUUGGCGCCUGAGAGGCUCAGUCGGUGAAGACUCUGCCUUCGGCUCAGCUCAUGAUCCAGGGUUCCGGGAUCGAGCCCCACGUCAGGCUCCCCACUCAGCGGAGAGCUGCUUCUCCCCUCUCCCUCUGCUGGUCCCCCUGCUUGUGUGCUCGCUCUCUCUCUCCCUCUUUCUCUCUCUGUCAAAGAAAUAAAACCUUCAAAAAAUAAAUAAAAUAAAAUAAAAACAAAAA